rnacentral:rRNA from 1 species
GUCUAUAGCAAUGUCACACUGAAUGCACCUGAUCUAGUCUGAUCUCAGAAGCUGCACAGGGUCAGGCCUGGUUAGUACUUGGAUGAGAAGAAUGAGAAGGAGGAAUUCACAGUGGAUC